rnacentral:rRNA from 1 species
CAGCACCUCAAGUGGUCAGGAUGAUUAUUGGGCCUAAAGCAUCCGUAGCCGGCUCUGUAAGUUUUCGGUUAAAUCUGUAUGCUCAACAUACAGGCUGCCGGGAAUACUGCAGAGCUAGGGAGUGGGAGAGGUAGACGGUACUCGGUAGGAAGGGGUAAAAUCCUUUGAUCUAUUGAUGACCACCUGUGGCGAAGGCGGUCUACCAGAACACGUCCGACGGUGAGGGGUGAAAGCUGGGGGAGCAAACCGGAUUAGAUACCCGAGUAGUCC